CAGUAUGCCCAGGAGCAGGGUGCCCAGGUGCAGGGUGCCCAGGAGCAGUAUGCCCAGGAGCAGGGUGCCCAGGAGCAGGGUGCCAAGGAGCAAGGUGCCAAGGAGCAAGGUGCCCAGGAGCAGUAUGCCAAUGAGCCGUAUGCCAAGGAGCAGGGUGCCCAGGAGCAGGGUGCCCAGGAGCAGUAUGCCAAGGAGCAGGGUGCCCAGGAGCAGGGUGCCCAGGAGCAGGGUGCCCAGGAGCAGGGUGCCCAGGAGCAGGGUGCCCAGGAGCAGGGUGCCCAGGAGCAAGGUGCCAUAUGGAACCUGGUCAAAGGUAGUGCACUAUAUAGGUCCAAGUCAGCCUAAGAAUGAUGUAAUUGUGGACAGGGGUCUACUUUAUAGACGAACAGGAGCAGGUGCUGCUAGAACUCUCUUUCCCAGAGAUCACUGCAGUCUCCAGCAGCAGAGAUGGCAAGCUGCAGGGGCAGAGUUUUGCGUUGGUGACCAUGAAGGGCGAUGAGUUUACAUUCACGUCAACCAACUCUGAGGACAUCAGAGACCUUGUGGUAACAUUCCUAGAGGGCCUGAGGAACCGGUCCAAGUAUGUGGUGGCUCUGCAGGACAACACCAACGCUGUUGGGGAGUCUACGUUCCUGUCGUUUCAAAGGGGAGACCUGAUCCUAUUGGACCAGGAGACGGGUCAGCAGGUCAUGACCUCAGGCUGGGCCCACGGGGUCAAUGAAUGGACCAAUCAGAAAGAAGAUUUCCCUGCUGACGCCGUCUACGUCCUGCCGACUGUUACUAGACCUCAGGCCGACGUAGUGGUAAGACAUACACACACACAGCCUUUACACACACACACAGCCUUUGCAUGAUCCUCAAACCUCUCUCUCUAGACGUUGGUUACCAUGACACCAGACCAGCGACAGGAGACGGUCCGUUUGUCUCAGCUGGUUCUCCCGGAAACUGGAGAGGGUUAAACCUUACACACUGGAAGAGUUCAGCUAUGACCACUUCAGGUAGACAUGCACGUAUGCAUUUAUUUAUUUUUUCAACCUUUAUUUAACUAGGCAAGUCAGUUCAGAACAAAUUCUGAUUUGCAAUGACAGCCUAGGAAAAGUGGGUUAACUGCCUUGUUUAGGGGCAGUGUGGCGGGCCAGGCGCACGCACGUUGACUUCGGUCGCCAGGUUAAGUGAGCAGUGUGUCAACACUGUGUUUCGGAGGAUGCAUGGCUCUCGACCUUCGCCUCUCCCGAGUCCACGGCAGUUGCAGCAAUGGGACAAGACUGUAACUACCAAUUGGAUAUCACGAAAAAGGGGUAAAAAGUACCAAAAUAAACAACAACAAAAAAGCUCUAUUGUAGAUUAGAACCCUCAGACUCAGAUUGAAUCUUGGCUGAGGUGUCUGUUUUUAUAAAAACAAUAAAGAUGAUUGGAUGAG